rnacentral:rRNA from 1 species
AGUGAAAAAGAACCUGAAACCGUGUACGUACAAGCAGUGGGAGCACCUUCGGGUGUGACUGCGUACCUUUUGUAUAAUGGGUCAGCGACUUAUAUUCUGUAGCAAGGUUAACCGUAUAGGGGAGCCGAAGGGAAACCGAGUCUUAACUGGGCGUUAAGUUGCAGGGUAUAGACCCGAAACCCGGUGAUCUAGCCAUGGGCAGGUUGAAGGUUGGGUAACACUAACUGGAGGACCGAACCGACUAAUGUUGAAAAA